GUCUGGGCGCUGGGCUCGGGAUGCGCGGUCCAGGGCUGGAGUCUGGGCUGGGGGGUGUGCGGUGGGGAGGGGGGGCGGAGAGGGCCACGGCAGCGCAGCCUCGAUGCCACCCCCACCCCCCCAACCUGGCCCCCAGCCCUCCCGCCGGCCCAGCCCGCCGGGCCGCAAGCCCGGACCACCCGCGAGAAGCGCAAACUUUUUUUUUCCCUUUUGCAAAAACUUUUUCUCUCUCCAGCCGCUGGCGCGCCGCCGCUCUUCCCGCUCGCCCCUCACCUCCCUUCUAUUUCCCUCCCUCUUGCCGUUCUGGAGGAUGAGGCGGGGUAGCUGGAAGCAAGAGAAGGGGUGCCGGGCUUAUUGCACCCCCAGGACCCCCAGGAUCCUCCCCCUCCCUUGAGGGACCCUAUACUGC
rnacentral:lncRNA from 1 species